CAGGGCCGUAACUAGCCUCUUUUAAUAGUGAGGCAAAAUUUAUUCGCCGAGCGGAGCGAGGCGAAAAAUUUUGGGCGAGGGGUCUGGGGGGGCUUAAAGCCCCCAGAAGCUCUGAGAAAAAUAACGCAAAAUCGUGCAUUCUGAGCGUUUCCCAGACUCUUUCUUGCAUUAAUUUUUAGAUAUUUUUUUCGACAAUCAGGUCCCAAAGCAAAAACAAAGAUUCAUUGUAAUUAAGACUUUUAGGUAUUAGAGACAACAUUAAAAGACCGAUAUGUAG
rnacentral:lncRNA from 1 species